CGGAGGAUCCAAGCGUUAUCCGGAUUUAUUGGGUUUAAAGGGUGCGUAGGUGGGAUAAUAAGUCAGAGGUGAAAGCUAGCAGCUUAACUGUUAAAUUGCCUUUGAUACUGUUAUUCUUGAGUAUAGUUGGCGUUGGCGGAAUGUGACAUGUAGCGGUGAAAUGCGUAGAUAUGUCACAGAACACCGAUCGCGAAGGCAGCUAACGAAACUAUCACUGACACUGAUGCACGAAAGCGUGGGGAGCAAACAGGAUUAGAUACCCUGGUAGUCCACGCCGUAAACGAUGAUAACUCGACGUUGGCAAUAUACUGUUCAGCGUCCAAGCGAAAGCGUUAAGUUAUCCACCUGGGGAGUACGAUCGCAAGGUUG
rnacentral:rRNA from 1 species